GACGAACGCUGGCGGCGUGCCUAAUACAUGCCAGUUGAGCGCUGAAGGUUGGUACUUGUCCCGACUGGAUGAGCAGCGAACGGGUGAGUAACGCGUGGGGAAUCUGCCUUUGAGCGGGGGACAACAUUUGGAAACGAAUGCUAAUACCGCAUAAAAACUUUAAACACAAGUUUUAAGUUUGAAAGAUGCAAUUGCAUCACUCAAAGAUGAUCCCGCGUUGUAUUAGCUAGUUGGUGAGGUAAAGGCUCACCAAGGCGAUGAUACAUAGCCGACCUGAGAGGGUGAUCGGCCACAUUGGGACUGAGACACGGCCCAAACUCCUACGGGAGGCAGCAGUAGGGAAUCUUCGGCAAUGGACGAAAGUCUGACCGAGCAACGCCGCGUGAGUGAAGAAGGGUUUCGGAUCGUAAAACUCUGUUGGUAGAGAAGAACGUUGGUGAGAGUGGAAAGCUCAUCAAGUGACGGUAACUACCCAGAAAGGGACGGCUAACUACGUG
rnacentral:rRNA from 1 species